rnacentral:rRNA from 1 species
UGGGGAAUAUUGGACAAUGGACCGAGAGUCUGAUCCAGCAAUUCUGUGUGCACGAUGAAGUUUUUCGGAAUGUAAAGUGCUUUCAGUUGGGAAGAAAGAAAUGACGGUACCAACAGAAGAAGUGACGGCUAAAUACGUGCCAGCAGCCGCGGUAAUACGUAUGUCACGAGCGUUAUCCGGAUUUAUUGGGCGUAAAGCGCGUCUAGGUGGUUAUGUAAGUCUGAUGUGAAAAUGCAGGGCUCAACUCUGUAUUGCGUUGGAAACUGUAUAACUAGAGUACUAGAGAGGUAAGCGGAACUACAAGUGUAGAGGUGAAAUUCGUAGAUAUUUGUAGGAAUGCCGAUGGGGAAGCCAGCUUACUGGACAGAUACUGACGCUAAAGCGCGAAAGCGUGGGUAGCAAACAGG